rnacentral:rRNA from 1 species
GAUGAACGCUGGCGGCGUGCCUAAUACAUGCAAGUCGAGCGAAGCGGGGACGGGUGAGUAACACGUGGAUAACCUCCUAUAAGACUGGGAUAACUUCGGGAAACCGGAGCUAAACCGGAUACUUAUCGAUGGAUCCGCGCUGCAUUAGCUAGUUGGUAAGGUAACGGCUUACCAAGGCAACGAUGCAUAUCCGACCUGAGAGGGUGAUCGGCCAAACGGGAACUGAGAAACGGUCCAGACUCCGACGGGAUGCAGCAGUAGGGAAUCUUCCGCAAUGGACGAAAGUCUGACGGAGCAACGCCGCGUGAGAGAUGACGGCCUUCGGGUUGGAAAGCUCGGUUAAUCGGGACGCGGUACCGGAAUAGAAAGCCACGGCUAACUCCGUGCCAGCAGCCGCGGUAAUAC